rnacentral:rRNA from 1 species
UACGUAGGGUGCAAGCGUUAAUCGGAAUUACUGGGCGUAAAGCGUGCGCAGGCGGUUUUGUAAGUCUGUCGUGAAAGCCCCGGGCUCAACCUGGGAAUUGCGAUGGAGACUGCAAGGCUUGAAUCUGGCAGAGGGGGGUAGAAUUCCACGUGUAGCAGUGAAAUGCGUAGAGAUGAUGGAGGAACACCGAUGCGAAGGCGCCCCUGGGUCAAGAUUGACGCUCAUGCACGAAAGCGUGGGGAGCAAACAGG